CUACGGAGGGUGCAAGCGUUAUUCGGAAUCACUGGGCGUAAAGGGUGCGUAGGCGGUUUGAUAAGUCUGAUGUGAAAUCCUAUGGCUCAACCAUAGAACUGCAUUGGAAACUGUCAGACUAGAAUACUGAAGGGGCAGAUGGAAUUAGUGGUGUAGGGGUAAAAUCCGUAGAUAUCACUAGGAAUACCGAAAGCGAAAGCGAUCUGCUGGGAAGUUAUUGACGCUGAGGCACGAAGGCGUGGGGAGCAAACGGGAUUAGAAACCCCAGUAGUCC
rnacentral:rRNA from 1 species